UUGGUUCUUUUUGACUAACUAUAUUGCUAACUAUCAAAUUAAGUGGUGUCAUUAAUUUAAGAGAAAAUGCAGUAGAUGCUGUGUUUUGAUAUGCUGUUUAUGUAAACAUGAAUGAGUAGAAAUGCAAAGGGUUUAAAAGGUUGCACUAUGUUAAUUUUAUGCCGAUGCGCAUUACUUACUUGAUGCACAGUUCACCGUGUUAGAGAAUUGAGGUAUUUAGUACUAAUACUUGGAGAACAUUUAAAUGGUACAAUUAUAAAUUUUUUUAGUAAUGUCGACUAUGAAGGCGAAUAAAUAAAUAAAUUAAUGGUAAUCAACUAGGAUCCAUGGCACAUUGACUUCGUGGGAGGCUAAUGACAUGUCCAUUUGCCAUUGUAAAAGUAAAUUGUUAGGAAUCAAGGUAAGUAAAUAUGUUACCUAAAUUUGUUAUUAUGUGAUUUUGAUAUUGGAUUAUUACGUUCUAUAUUAUUAAUGCUACUCAUGACAUUUUCAUGCAUGUUAAUGCAUCCAUAAGCAUACAUGAAGUUUCAAGAAAUAAAAACUUUCAAAUGUCACGAGUCAAUGAAUGUUUUAAAAAUAUAUGUAUUCCGAAUACUUUUAUUACGAGGUAUAUGUCUAUAUCAUGAAAGGUAUAAAUUAGAAAUGGGGCGUGAGCGAUCGGCGCACCCGACCAAUGUUCAAUGAUAAUGUUAAUGUUAACCACUUUGUGGUACUACUGUUGGACUCAUCUAGGUUCCAAAUAAUAAUUGCUCACUGCAUUUUGAUUGAUUAGACGAUACACCAAGUGAGCUCACGACGCCAGUGUUAAGUUUUUAAACAAAUGAAAGAAAUAAGAUACAUAUUGAGAAAUGUUUUUAUUUUAAAGUUAUUCAUUCGCAUAUCUUAAACAUGCAUCAUUAGCAUGAGGUUUGCUUAAUCAAAGUUAGCUCAUUCCAUAUUAUCCCUCACCAUUUCAGAAUGAUUAAAGCAAGAGAUUCAAGAUGACAACUUGCGGUGCGACAGACUCAGUACUGCAACACUUAAAUAUUGACUUCAUUUUGAAAAAAAAAAAAGUUAAGUUUUAAAUUUUAUUGUCUUAUAUUUUACCAAGUACAAUUUUUUGUUAAAUGAAGUUGUUAAUUUUUAUCAUGUUUAAGAAAAUAAGAAAUCACUUUACCACAUUUAUGAUUUUAAGGGGCAUUAGAUGAUAAUACUUUUAGAUUUUGGUAUUUAGAUUUGGGAGUGUUACAUCUACAAUAUAGGACUAUGUUAUUUGAUAGAUUCUAUCAACACACUUGGACUAAAAUUUAAUUGAAUACAUUAUUUUCAAGAUUUUGCUAUUAAUUCAUGCUAGAUCUUCUCAUCCUGUUGGACUAUCCUUUGGUUUGAAUUUAUUGAUCUCAAGUCUUCUUGAUUACUUAAAUUGUCUCAAUUGAUUUCGAAUUUACGUGUGGAUUCACAACCUUAUUAUACCAAUAUUUUAUGAUCUCCUUAUCAUUCCUUUGAUGAUCAUUAUUUCUGCUGCCAAAUCAAGUGACGUUGCUAACAAAAGGACAUUUCACGUGAGAGUAUCCACUAGUAUUGGUAGUAUAGAAGCUGAGGUGUGAGGUUGUAUGAGUAGUAUUCAGAAAAUAUUUGCUUCUGUGUUUAUUUAUUUAUUUAUAUUUAAUAUGUGAUGGCUUCCAAUUUGGUGUAUAUUGUCUGGGAGAAACAACUGAAAGAGGCUGCUUCUCUCAAUCGCUCUUGAUUCUAAACAAGGUACUUUCUCAAUGUUGUAUGUUCAAAUUAUUAAAGACUUCUCGGGAUAUUUAAAGGUCAAUCUAAUUUACAAGAAUAGCUCAAAUUGUUAUAUUUUAGUUUUUAAUUGAUGUGGAAUUUAUCAAUUACUAACAUAAAUUUCAGUUUUAUUUUUUAAAAGUGUUUCUUACGCCACAAAAGACUCCAAAUGGGGAUGACUUAUGUGAUUUAUUAUCUUACAAAUCUAACUCCAACAGUUAAUAUGACAAUAAAUUUUACUAAAUUAUUCAUUUCGUAUAUUUAUACUAUUAUCAUGCCAUUCUUAAAACAUGAAAGUUAAGUUAGACGUCGAGUUUUUCUUCUUCCCCUACCCCCCCAAACUUUUUGUCAUUUUUUUUUUGGUAUUUUUAAAGUUUCUUAAAAAGCAUAAUGAUUCCCCCCUAUUGUAUUUGUAUGAAUUGAUAUGAACCUAAUUCUGAAACUUAUCUAAACCUAAUUCUGAAACUUAUCUAUUUGAUACUCUAUUCAUGGAUAUUUACUUGUUUCAGCUUUGAUCUUAUGUUCAUGGUGAGCAUGGACCCAUGGAUUAUAGUGCCUACCAUGGGCGUGGCAACAUUUAGUAUUACUACAUGCAUUUGGUGUUGCCACGCCCACGGUGGGCA
rnacentral:lncRNA from 1 species